CAAAAUAUAGUUUAAUGAAAAUUUUAAUUUUGGGAAUUAAUGAUGCUUUUUUAGUUAUUUUGA
rnacentral:tRNA from 1 species